UCAACCGUUUAUUGACCACCGCUGACCAUAGUUCGUCCCCUACUAGUUUUUGCCUGUCGUUGCCACGCUUGGCAGGUGGGUUGGCAACCGCAGUUAGGCUUUGUGAUAUUUAUGGAAUUAAUUUUUUUUUUUUUAUGAAACGCAAUCUCAGUGUAUUUAUUUUUUUAUUCACAAUAUUUCUAUCUUAAUAUGUUCUAUAGCAUAAGUAUAUUCUUAGAGUCGGUAAUGGUUUCACCUUAUAUUUAACUUUGCCUAGUUUAUACUAGAUGGCGCUGAAUUAUAGUUUAUACUUUUUAUUAUAGGUACGCAGUUUAUAUUUAUGAAACUUGUCCAAAAUACCAUUAGACUAAGUCUCCGAUGAAAGCAUAAAUUAUUAGGUACCUAUGUCGCCCGAUGACGAAAAAAAGCGCAUGGAGGGGUACGUAGGUGGCGCUGCGGUCGGCGGCGGUAAACGGCGCCCUGCGACAGCAGCGUGACCCGUGCCACCUGCACCCCGUGACACAUAGAUUAUGAGAUCUGAGGGCUGAUGUUUUUUUUAACCAACUACAAAAAAGGAGAUUGUUCUGAAUUCAAAUUGAAAAGCAAAAUCGACUUGGUUUUAUUACAAGAUUAUAAGUAGCAGAUAGACAAUUCUCGGCGUAUAUUUUUGUCUGUUAUAUAUCAUUGAAUAGCAUGCUACAAUACACGUUGUGGGAUAAAUCCGCCAUUAUUCUCGUUAUGUGAAGGAUAAUAGGUGAGGAUGAAGUAGGUCAGUUGGCCCACCGUCAUGAAUUAAAUUCGACAAGAAUUAAACAUGAUGGUUUCCAGGGGAACCGCGUUGAGGUCGACCUGAGAUGGUAUAUUGCUAGUAAUGGGGCUAUUAGACCCCACUAACAAUCCCUUUCCCCCCUUUAUAAUCUAUAUAGUUCUGAACACAGAUGUUUAAGCUGAUCCAAAUGUAGAAAUGAAUUCGUACCUACUUUUACUGUAAUUUCCAGCGCUGAGUUUGUUACAAUCAUGGUUGUGCAAUAAAGUUGUUUUUUUUUAUACCACUGAGGUGACAAACAAGCAUACGGCCCACCUGAUGGUAAGCGGUUACCGUAGCCUAUGAACGCCUGCGAUACCAGAGGUAUUACGCGCUCGUUGCCAACCCUGAAGAAACCUUAUUAUUAUUAUUAUUUUAUAAAAAUGCUAUGAUUUUUACCAACUAUUGCAAGUAAAACAGUAUAUGUACUGAGUUAUUUAAAACGUUUAGCGUUGAAAUAAAACAAGUAUUCGAGCGACAAUGUCAGUAGUACUAUAGUCUGGUCUGAAUUCGACAUUGUCGUGUUUGGCCCCUGGCCAAGGACGCAGCCUAGAAGUGUACGUAUCUUAUAUAUAUGUAUGUAUGUAUGUAUGUAUAUGUAACAGACUUUAGACUAAAGCAGUGUUUCUCAACCUUUUUUUUUUUUUGUUGCUGCGGCACAUAUUUAACGAUUUCAAAAUUUGGCGGCACACAAAGAAAAAGAUAAAAAAUAUUUACUCACUACAACACACUGCAUAAAUAGUUUAUGACAAAAAUUUUAAAUAUUUGCAAAAUUUGGCGGCACACUUUUAAAAUUUGGCGGCACACUUUUAAAAUUUGGCGGCACACUUUUAAAAUUUGGCGGCACACUUUUAAAAUUUGGCGCCACACUUUUAAAAUUUGGCGGCACACUUUUAAAAUUUGGCGGCACACUUUUAAGAUUUGGCGGCACACUUUUAAAAAUUGGCGGCACACUUUUAAAAUUAGGCGGCACACUUUUAAAAUUAGGCGGCACACUUUUAAAAUUAGGCGGCACACUUUUAAAAUUUGGCGGCACACAAAAGUGCCGCGGCACAGUGCUUGAGAAUCACUGGACUAAAGCAAGUACGCGUCAGAUGUAUGUAAAAUAAUGUUUCAUAAUUGAUUUAUGAAUGACAUAGCUGUAUCCUGCGGUUUUGCUCGUGUAAAUUUAGAUUGGUAGAGAAUGCUGCUAGAAUUAAGUCUGCCUUUUAUACCAUAUUCAUUACUAGCGAAACAUGGAUAUUAAACCAUGUAAUUUUAGACAUAGUACGUUUAAAUAAAUACACAUAAUGUUAACAGAGAUUUAAAAGAGUAACUGUUGAGUUUCUUGCGGGCUCUCCUCAACAGAUAACGACCUUCCGAAUCCUGCAGUAAAUUAAAAAUAAAAAUUGACGAUUUAGAAAUCUUUUAAACAGGUAUAUUUGAAUAAACGUGAAUUGGAUGGACUGUAUGAAAUAAUAUGGCCAGAAUGAGUGUGAAUGUGGAAAUAACUGCGAAUAGCAUGUACAAAAGUCGAUUGCGUGGGUACCUCUGUCCCAUUCGUGUUUCUACCGUGAAGCAGCUGUGUUUGCAUGGCUGUGUUUCGGUUUGAAUUGUGGGAUAUGGCGUGAAUUUACUGGGUAUAGAGGAAUAACACCUUAGUCCACAGGAAUGGCAACGCAUGGGGGGUAUCAUGGGCGAAACAGUACACUCUGUUAUGUCCACGGUACUGCUCAUGUCUAUAGGCGACGGUUACCACUUUCCAUCAGGUGGGCCGUCAGCUUGAUAGGUAUUCUUAGUUUCAUAAAAAAAAAAAAUUAUAAAUGGUAUUACCUGUUUUUAUAUUGCAACAUCUGUGCUUCCAUCAAUUAUUUUUCGCUAUACAUUUCAACAUGGACUUUGAGGUCGUGUUUCAAUAAACGAUCUCAGAGUCUACGAAAACAAAGUAACGACCAGCGAUAAACGAAACUCCAUUCUGUCGGUUUGCUCUAAUCACUAUGACUGAUUUCCUCUUAUUAAUUGUUUAACCAGUUGGUUAUGUAUUCAAUAUUUUUUUCUUUUUGAGUAUUUAAUUGAAUUAGUGCUAAUUGGUGGUUUGUAUUCACACAUUUAAACUUAAAAAUGUAAAGUAAUAAUAAAAUUAUUUAAAAGAGCAACACGCAAGUUUCUUGCUCGUUCUUCUUGUGAUGAGACAGCUUUCCGAACGAGCGGUAGAUUAAAAAAAAUGUAAUGACUAUUCAAAAGUGCUUCAAUGUAAGUUUAUUUGAAUAAAUGAUUUUCUAUUCUAUUCUAUUCUAUUCUAUUCUAUUCCAUUACACAAUAUUUUAAAGUCAAUAUUUUCCUCAUUUCUUAUUAUCUACUCCAGUCAACUUGAUAUAAUAUAACCGAACUAAAUGUACGCCGAGGAUGAAAACUUUAAAAAAAAAAAAAAAAAGAAA